AGGACCAAAGAGUGUAAUUUCUCCAGAAUUGAGCCUCUAUGGUGUGAUGUUUGGUCAGCUGUCUCUUGUACUAUGAAGAACUGCAAUGGAAGAAGAGACAGUGCUUGAUUCGGCAGGUGAACUGCACCUAUUUUAUGGUGGAGCAACUUUUUCAAGAGGAAAUUGUUGACAAUGUCACAGAGGAUGAUGGUGUGGUCGUGGUGCCAGAGAUCUAUUGUCCUUUGUCAGACCAAAAGCCUUUGAUAUCACCAUUGAAUGUCUAGGAGUUAUACCAACAGACACUCGAUGUCAUCCAAAGACUCUGCUCCAUUUAAAUUGUAAAAGUCAUUUUCAGGUUUACAAGAUACAAAAGCUGGUUCACAGAUGUACCUUUCCUUUAAAACUAUUUCCCACCUGUAAUCACAAUGGAGACACAUCUCUGACUGCUGGGCUUCCCCUCUUAUUGUGUUCAGAUUCAUAUGCAUCUGCAGGGUUAUUCAUGGCAACACUUUAUAGCGUUGUGCUGGUAAUUUAUCUUUAUAUAUCAUGCCUUCUCACUACAUCUGUCAGCCUGUGCUUUACAUAUCUGAGAGUCAACGCAGCUAAACAUGAAGGACAAAUGCAAUGCAAGACGUUAUGCAUGUUAUAUAUCGGCAUAUGGAUGAUUAGAUUAGAAACUGCUUUCUGUUGGUGUGUUUAAACAUCACAUGACAUAGAAAAUUAACUGUCCUCCAUUUUCCUCCUUAGAUUUAAUUUGUACUUUAGACGUCAAUGGGAACUAUGGGACGUCUAAUGGGAAUGUGAACUAUCCCUUUAAGACUCUGUAAACCAUUCAGAUGCAUGUAAAAUUAUUAACAACUGUUAAACAGCAUCUAUAAAUGAUAAAAAAGACAUUACUAUUGGGAGAAACAUUUUGUCUAGACAUUUGAGUUCAUUUCAACUGACACUCUGUAAAAGUAAGCAUCAUGUUGCACUGCUGUUUCCAUUCCUUCUUUAAAUUCAUUUGCAUGGCCUUCGAUGCAUGCAUGUGUGA